CUAGACAUUUUUAGUAUUUUAGUUAAGGUUUCCGAUACAGUGUUAAUUUUUUAGAAUUUUAACUAGUGAUAUUAAAUCUGGACCGGCUAGUGAACCGGAAUUGUGUUGGAUUAUGUCGGGUUUGAUUGGGUUCGAUUGGUUUAAACUGAAUUUAAUAAUAUUUUGUAAUAGUAUCCAUAUUCUUACAAAGAUAAUAUCAAAUAAAAUAUUUCAAUAACCACAAUGUUUAGAAAUUCUUUUUUUUUAAAACAAACUGUAAACAUAAUAAAAGUGAUAAAAUAAUUUAAUAGUUCAAAUCAUAAAUCAAUAAGAAAAAGCACAUUUAAACUAAGUUUUGUGUUUGAAUUUGGUGAAAGUUGACUUUUUGAAUCAUUUUCUUCCAUUUCUAAGUACAUUGCAAAAAAAAAAUCUUAAACCACAAGUAAAAAAAAAAACAGAUUUCACAUGUAAACUAAGUUUUGCAUUGCUCGUGGAAUGAGAAGCAAUAAUAAUCAAGUGCUUUGUUCUUUUAUAAAUUAUACAAAUUUUGCAAAUGCAUAUGUUUCAAUUAUUAAAGUCUCAUGAAAUAAUAUUUAACAAAGUGAAAAGUAGACAAAACAAUACCUUGACAUGAAAAUUUAAGUUUGUGAAUCUUGUGAGUUGUAAAUAACAGACGGCGAUAUUUUAUCAACCGAAUUUUUAACAGUUUAAUAUGAGUUUUAACCGGUUUAACUUUAUUUAGGUUUUGGCAUUAAUCCAACCCGAAUUGGUGUCCGGUUUGCGGUUAA
rnacentral:lncRNA from 1 species